rnacentral:rRNA from 1 species
UACGGGAGGCAGCAGUGGGGAAUAUUGCACAAUGGGCGAAAGCCUGAUGCAGCUAUGCCGCGUGUAUGAAGAAGGCCUUAGGGUUGUAAAGUACUUUCAUCGGGGAGGAAAAACAAAACUAAUAAUUUUAUUUCUUGACGUUACCCGAAAAAGAAGCACCGGCUAACUCCGUGCCAGCAGCCGCGGUAAUACGGAGGGUGCUAGCGUUAAUCAGAAUUACUGGGCGUAAAGAGCACGUAGGUGGUUUUUUUAAGUCAGAUGUGAAAUCCCUGGGCUUAACCUGGAACUGCAUUUUGAAACUGAAAUACUAGAGUAUCGUAGAGGGAGGUAGAAUUCUAGGUGUAGCGGUGAAAUGCGUAGAUAUCUGGAGGAAUACCUGUGGCGAAAGCGACCUCCUAAACGAAUACUGACACUGAGGUGCGAAAGCGUGGGGAGCAAACAGGGAUUAGAUACC